CAGCAGCCGCGGGAAUACAGAGGGUGCGAGCGUUAAUCGGAUUUACUGGGCGUAAAGCGUGCGUAGGCGGCUUCUUAAGUCGGAUGUGAAAUCCCUGAGCUUAACUUAGGAAUUGCAUUCGAUACUGGGAAGCUAGAGUAUGGGAGAGGAUGGUAGAAUUCCAGGUGUAGCGGUGAAAUGCGUAGAGAUCUGGAGGAAUACCGAUGGCGAAGGCAGCCAUCUGGCCUAAUACUGACGCUGAGGUACGAAAGCAUGGGGAGCAAACAGGAUUAGAUACCCGGGUAGUCCCUGUCUCUUAUAC
rnacentral:rRNA from 1 species